GCCAAAGUUGCCUGUAGUUCCGGCCACUGAACACAGCCGCUUUUCCCUGCGCGCUGGGCCAGCCUUAAGAGGAGGGUCGCGUGCGCUGGGCCAAUGCGAGCCUGGCGCCGCCUCCCGCUGCCAGACCGCUGUCUGUGGCACGCGACCCACCUCCCUUCUGGGCUCCUUCUGCUCAGGACCCGCCCCCAUGCUCAGGCGAUGUUGGCAGCCUAGUCCUUUUCAUUGCCUCCUAUCCUGUUCUCACCCCAGAGCUGUGCACAGAUGACCAAUGUAGCUAGUGGAAUUGCCUUUUUGCUUUGCAACUUCCUGGCCCAGAAGCGUUAGCUUCUUAGUCAGGUUCUAGGUUAUUGGAGUCAGGCAAGCUGUUCGCAUCCCUGUAUUCAUUGACCUCAUGAUCUUUAGGUACAGAAGCAAGUACCUGGCGCCUUGACAAUUAUGUGAAAUGAUACACGCCUGGAAUAGAAGUACUACAUAUAUCAUUCAUGCCACUCAAAUGAGGAUGGUACUAAUGUCAACCAAUUAUUUACAAAAGUCAUCUCUAACUUACAGAGCAAUCCUGCAACUCUAAGAGUUCCUCGCCUGCCCAAUCCUUCGUUUUCUGCUGCUUUUCGAAGGGCUGGGGUUUCUAAUACUUCAUCUGUUCGUCUGGGAACUGAGCACCUCUCACUCAUGUUCUGGACCUAGGUUUAAGACUAAAGAUAACAAUACCCACCCCUUCCCUCCAAAAGUCCCAGGUGGAACAAGGUUCUUCUAAAUGUGCUUUCCUCUCCUGAUCACCAUAAUCCAUCAAGUAGUCAGGAGGCAGUCUGGAAGUUUCAAGGAAAAAAAUAUAUGUGAAAAUUUUCUUCACUUGAUGUUUUACAAAUUUUAACAACGACUAAGGAUUAUUUUUAUUCAUAUUCUUUUAUAGCUGAAAAUAAAAGCAGUUUCCCACAACUAGAGAAUUACUGACUUCCCUAAAGUCCUGGUCACAAAUAGCAGUCACAACCCAUUCAGCCCAGCAAGGACAACUAUCUCGACCAUCAAAGCCAACAUACAAAAUCACUAAAAGCACAGUGCAUGUGCCUCUGAAUGCAAACAACCAACCACAGCUUCUUGGGAAACAAUCAGCUUUUACAGUUGAUAUCAAUCUUGAUCUAAUGCCUCUGAAAAUGACUAAUCCCUAAUUCUACCUUGCCAAAAACAAAACAAAACAAGAUCAAAGGUCUGUUCUGCUUGCAAAAACACUGCAUGACCAGCCUAGUUCUCCCUGAAGUAUGAAGCAAUAAAUUGAGCUUUGUCUUCAUGGAGCCGCCAGUCUGUAGGGGGAACAAUUCUGCCAUGGCAUCUUACCAACUGAAACAUCUCCAUAAGGGCCAAAUAGGCAAAGCUUAACAGCUCUGACUGGCCUGAAAUUCCUCUGCAGCAGGAGGAGAGAAUCAGCAUGGUGUGGAGCCAUCUUGAGGCAAUUACUCAUCUCUGCCUUGUAGGAGUCAAUGAUGGGCCAUUCCUCCUCUAUCUCUCUUGGUUCAUUUGAAGGCAGACCUUUUUGUCUUGCACCCCCAUGUUAGCAUACAUCUGCAAACUUCCAUGCAAAUCCAUAAAACUGCCCAUGGUUGUUUUGAGUUGCCUCCUUAACAGGCAGGGGCUUGGGUGAGACCAAGGAGACCCCUGAGGGACAACGUGUAAAGGGGACACUUGCUCUAAGUUGUCUCAGUGCUGAUCUUGUCCUGAUCCUCAACAACAAAGCAACUCAUCCACCACUCUAUUUGCUGCCACACUGUGGAAAUGGAUAUACAGGGAGCUGAGACCAUGAUGAUGAUAAUAUUUGUCUGCCUGUGUUCAUACUGACUGCUUUCUCCUAGAAGUCUUCAGUCAUUGUCUGACUCCUUCCAGGAACAGCAGAAGGCAGGCACAGCACCCCGUGAUGACAGCACCCCUAAAUAGGAGCAAUCAUCUCAUGGCAACUGAUCCCCAUCUAGGAUCACAGGUCUGAUAGAUAAAACAUCCUGAGCAACAAGUGGAGAUCACCCCUCAAGGGAUAAAGAUUUUUCUGGAGUUAUCUUGAAGAACCAGAACUGAAGUAAUAGGCAAACAAGACCAUCAUUUGACCAAGACUGCUUAAUUAUUUAUGCACAUCUCUUGCCUCCUGUCCCAGUUCUUCCUCUACUUAAACCUAGGCUCAUGUCAACAGUUUGAAGACAGGGCUGAGAUGCUAGAUCUCACUUUCCCUUCCCCAAAAUGAAUCUAUUGAUUAAAGUUUCCUUCUCUGUUUUUCACCAUUA